AGAGUUUGAUCCUGGCUCAGGAUGAACGCUGGCGGCGUGCCUAAUACAUGCAAGUCGAACGGAGAACAUCGUAGCAAUACUUUGUUCUUAGUGGCGAACGGGUGAGUAACGCGUUGGUGACCUGCCCCGAAGAGGGGGAUAACAGUCCGAAAGGACUGCUAAUACCCCAUGUGGUCUCAGGGAUUAGAUACCCUGAGUCUAAAGGAGUAAUCCACUUUGGGAGGGACCUGCGUCCCAUCAGCUAGUUGGUAAGGUAACGGCCUACCAAGGCUUCGACGGGUAGGGGACCUGAGAGGGUGGCCCCCCACAAUGGAACUGAAACACGGUCCAUACACCUACGGGUGGCAGCAGUAGGGAAUAUUGGUAAUGGGCGAAAGCCCGAACCAGCAACGCCGCGUGUGCGAUGAAGGCCUUCGGGUCGUAAAGCACUUUUUGAGAAGAUGAUGAAGGACAGUACUCUCAGAAUAAGUCUCGGCUAACUACGUGCCAGCAGCAGCGGUAACACGUAGGAGACAAGCGUUAUCCGGAUUUACUGGGCGUAAAGCGCGUGCAGGCGGUUUGGAAAGUUGGAUGUGAAAGCUCCUGGCUUAACUGGGAGAGGUCAUUCAAAACUUCCAGACUCGAGAGUGGUAGAGGAAGGUGGAAUUCCGGGUGUAGUGGUGAAAUGCGUAGAUAUCCGGAGGAACACCAGUGGCGAAAGCGGCCUUCUGGACCAUUUCUGACGCUCAGACGCGAAAGCUAGGGUAGCAAACGGGAUUAGAUACCCUGGUAGUC
rnacentral:rRNA from 1 species